rnacentral:misc_RNA from 1 species
GAAAUGCGAUAAGUAAUGUGAAUUGCAGAAUUCAGUGAAUCAUCGAAUCUUUGAACGCACAUUGCGCCCGUCAGCAUUCUGGCGGGCAUGCCUGUUCGAGCGUCAUUUCAACCCUCAGGACCCCCCUUUCGCGGGGAGGGACCUGGCGUUGGGGAUCGGCCCGCCCCCCGCGGCGGCGCCGUCCCCGAAAUCUAGUGGCGGUCUCACUGCAGCCUCCCCUGCGUAGUAGUUACAACCUCGCAUCGGAGCGCGGCGCGGCCACGCCGUAAAACCCCCGACUUUCUGAACGUUGACCUCGGAUCAGGUAGGAAUACCCGCUGAACUUAAGC